rnacentral:rRNA from 1 species
GAGUUUGAUCGUGGCUCAGGAUGAACGCUAGCUACAGGCUUAACACAUGCAAGUCGAGGGGAAACGAUAGAGAAAGCUUGCUUUUUCUAGGCGUCGACCGGCGCACGGGUGAGUAACGCGUAUCCAACCUGCCCACCACUUGGGGAUAACCUUGCGAAAGUAAGACUAAUACCCAAUGACGUCUCUAGAAGACAUCUGAAAGGGAUUAAAGAUUUAUCGGUGAUGGAUGGGGAUGCGUCUGAUUAGCUUGUUGGC